CCUUAAUCAUGUUUGUGCUGUUUGGAGCAUUUAUCAUGCAGUUAGCUCCCAAAUAAUGUGCUUAUUGCAUGGUUUAUUGUGCCACAAGACUGAAUAAUAACUCUGAUGCUCAGUUCUGGCACUUGAGAGCAACUGACUGCAGCUCAAGAAUAACCUGACAAUCAUAUGACAGUAGAAAGGAAAGAAGAAGACAGAAGGAGGAAGCAGGGCUCCGGGGAGAUGAGAAUGAAUGCACUUGUUUAAGUAUUACAGAGAUGGCGUCCCGUGAGCCAUCAGGCCUGUAUGUCCAGGAGAAGGUGACGUCCUCCGAGGUCCAGCGCCAGGAGAAGAAAGAACAGGAGAGUCGGAUGUCAGAGCCCACCAAGGCGUGCCGCUCCCAGCCAGUGUAAAUCACUAUAGCCUGGGACUGCUCAGGCACUGGGAGACACAAAGCAGGAGGGCAACCGACGUCAGCGCCAAAAACGUCAGCAUGGUCUCUGGCUUCUACGGAGCUCCCAAAAGACUGAUGCUGCAGACCCGACUGGAGUCGGUCGAGGAAGAGUCCCUCUCUGGAGGGAGCGUGAGUGGAAG